AGUGAACGCUGGCGGUAGGCCUAACACAUGCAAGUCGAACGGCAGCACAGUAAGAGCUUGCUCUUACGGGUGGCGAGUGGCGGACGGGUGAGGAAUACAUCGGAAUCUACUUUUUCGUGGGGGAUAACGUAGGGAAACUUACGCUAAUACCGCAUACGACCUACGGGUGAAAGCAGGGGAUCUUCGGACCUUGCGCGAUUGAAUGAGCCGAUGUCGGAUUAGCUAGUUGGCGGGGUAAAGGCCCACCAAGGCGACGAUCCGUAGCUGGUCUGAGAGGAUGAUCAGCCACACUGGAACUGAGACACGGUACAGACUCCGACAGGAGGCAGAGGUGGGGAAUGUUGGACAAUGGGCGGAAGACUGAACCAGCCAUACCGCGUGGGUGAAGAAAGCCUUCGGGUUGUAAAGCCCUUUUGUUGGGAAAGAAAAGCAGCAGGUCAAUACCCCGCUGUUCUGACGGUACCCAAAGAAUAAGCACCGGCUAACUUCGUG
rnacentral:rRNA from 1 species